GCAGGGGGAAAUGAAGCUGCUGGAGGGUCCGCGAAUGUCUGUCGAAUAUCCAGCCCUGAUCCAACCUAAAACUUCACCGCGCUGUUGCCAUGGAGACUGAUCUCAAACACACACACCACUGACGGUUGCAGCGUAAAUAAAGUCCGACAACUUGAUCCCUAAAAGGAGGAAGAAGAGUAAUCAUGCCGAAGAAAGCCAAGAAAGGUGGAGCAGGAAAAGCUGUAGGAAAGACGGAGGAGGAGAGGCUGAUGUUCCUGCAGCAGAGAGCUCAGGCUGAGGAGGAGAUGAACCGGAAGAAGGAGGAGGUCCUCACCCUGUUCCU